rnacentral:tRNA from 1 species
UCCCUCGUAGCUUAGUUGGUAAAGAAUCUGUCUGCAAUGCAGGAGACCCUGGUUCAGUUCUUGGGUAGGGAA